rnacentral:rRNA from 1 species
AACGAACGCUGGCGGCAGGCUUAACACAUGCAAGUCGAGCGCACUCUUCGGAGUGAGCGGCAGACGGGUGAGUAACGCGUGGGAAUCUACCUAUCACUACGGAAUAACACAGAGAAAUUUGUGCUAAUACCGUAUAACGUCCUAAUGGAGAAAGAUUUAUCGGUGAUGGAUGAGCCCGCGUUGGAUUAGCUAGUUGGUGAGGUAAAGGCUCACCAAGGCGACGAUCCCAUAGCUGGUCUGAGAGGAUGAUCAGCCACACUGGGACUGAGACACGGCCCAGACUCCUACGGGAGGCAGCAGUGGGGGAAUAUUGGGACAAUUGGGGGACGCAAGGCCUGGAU